AGUGAACGCUGGCGGUAGGCCUAACACAUGCAAGUCGAACGGCAGCACAGUUAGAGCUUGCUCUUACGGGUGGCGAGUGGCGGACGGGUGAGGAAUACAUCGGAAUCUACUUUUUCGUGGGGGAUAACGUAGGGAAACUUACGCUCAUACCGCAUACGACCUACGGGUGAAAGCAGGGGAUCUUCGGACCUUGCGCGAUUGAAUGAGCCGAUAUCGGAUUAGCUAGUUGGCGGGGUAAAGGCCCACCAAGGCGACGAUCCGUAGCUGGUCUGAGAGGAUGAUCAGCCACACUGGGACUGAGACACGGUCCAGACGCCUACGGGAGGCAGCAGUGGGGAAUAGUGGACAAGGGGCGCAAGCCUGAUCCAGCCAUACCGCGUGGGUGAAGAAGGCCUUCGGGUUGUAAAGCCCUUUUGUUGGGAAAGAAAAGCAGCAGGUUAAUACCCCGCUGUUCUGACGGUACCCAAAGAAUAAGCACCGGCUAACUUCGUG
rnacentral:rRNA from 1 species